AGAGUUUGAUCCUGGCUCAGGACGAACGCUGGCGGCGUGCCUAACACAUGCAAGUCGAGCGAAGUAGGAUGUGUUCUUCGGAAUGCGUUCUACUUAGCGGCGGACGGGUGAGUAACGCGUGAGGAACCUGCCUCUCGCAGAGGGAUAGCCUCGGGAAACUGAGGGUAAUACCUCAUGAGACUUAUAUACCGCAUGGUAUAUAAGCUAAAGCGAUUUAGCGGUGAGAGAUGGCCUCGCGUCCCAUUAGCUAGUUGGUGAGGUAACGGCUCACCAAGGCGACGAUGGGUAGCCGGCCUGAGAGGGUGGACGGCCACACUGGAACUGAGACACGGUCCAGACUCCUACGGGAGGCAGCAGUGGGGGAUAUUGCACAAUGGGGGAAACCCUGAUGCAGCGACGCCGCGUGAGCGAAGAAGGCCUUCGGGUCGUAAAGCUCUGUCCUAAGGGAAGAUAAUGACGGUACCUUAGGAGGAAGCCCCGGCUAACUACGUGCCAGCAGCCGCGGUAAAACGUAGGGGGCGAGCGUUGUCCGGAAUUACUGGGCGUAAAGGGUGCGUAGGCGGCUAUUUAAGUCAGAUGUGAAAGGCUACGGCUCAACCGUAGUGAGCAUUUGAAACUGAAUAGCUUGAGUCAAGGAGAGGGAAGUGGAAUUCCUGGUGUAGCGGUGAAAUGCGUAGAUAUCAGGAGGAAUACCAGUGGCGAAGGCGACUUCCUGGCCUUAGACUGACGCUGAGGCACGAAAGCGUGGGGAGCAAACAGGAUUAGAUACCCUGGUAGUCCACGCCGUAAACGAUGAGUGCUAGGUGUUGGGGAGGUUACUCUUCAGUGCCGCAGCUAACGCAAUAAGCACUCCGCCUGGGGAGUACGUACGCAAGUAUGAAACUCAAAUGAAUUGACGG
rnacentral:rRNA from 1 species